rnacentral:rRNA from 1 species
AUGCCGCUCUGGACCCUGGAGGGCGUGAAGGAGGUGCUGGGCGACGCGGUCAUCAUUGACCGCCUCGACAGCCGCACGUUCGAGCGUGCGGACACGAAGCUGUUCGCCGUCUGGGUGUGCGUGUGGCAGCUGCACCACAUCCCCACCACGCGAACCCUGUGGAAGCAUGCCAGAGGGGCUGACCGGGUGGAGGAGAUGAUCGGCUUCUCGCCUCUAAGUCGGGUCGUUGCGCCGCCGCCGGACCUGCUACGCUGGGAUGUGCUGGUGCACAUCGACCGAGUUGAAGACUGGGCGCCCCUGUCCCCGCGCUCCUCCCACUCCGGGCAGAGCGGACUCCCGUCCUCUGACGACGACGAUCACCCGUACCCGCGCUUCCCGCAUGCGGGGGGCUGGGUUGCCGGCGUGGAGGACGGCAGGCCGUCGCAAGACCUGGGGUAG